AAGACUAUACUUUUAGGGAUCAUUUCUAUAGUAUGUGACUAGAAAAGUUUCUCGGAUCCUGUAGAGCACCCAAAACCACGAGGAGGAGCCAGAAUGUCCUCUCCUGAGCUUGAAGCCGGCCCUAGGUGUCGCUUCUGCGGCUGCCUUUGGCCAUUGAUGAUCGUUCUUCACUGCCUUUGGAAGGGAUAAAGGGAGAGGAUGCAGUCUGAGUGGU